rnacentral:lncRNA from 1 species
GUGAAUUCACCAGGGACGGUAGGUGGGAGUGAUGAAUGUGAAGCAUCUCACAUCCCACACUGGUGAUUAAUGGGUGAUGGGCUCAUGACUCGAACUACUUUGUGUAUUUGCUAGUAAUAAAUUUUAAUAGUAGUAUUUAUUAUUUAUUUUACCUUAUGGUUUAUGCAUUAUUAUAUUAUUUCACGGCUGCUAUAUAGUUUUACAACAACUUUACACUAUAAACAUGGGGAAAACGAGCUUAAGUUAACUCAUUUUGCUGGGGCCAAACAACCACUUCAUUCCAUCUCACGUUUUUAAAGUUUGGUGAAAUUGCACUUUCUAUAAAUAACAUUUAAUUCUAUAAAUUAAAACUCCAUUUGUGUUAACUCCACCAUUAUUUUUUCAUUUAAUAAACCAAAAUAAAACUGCAUUUCUUUGUUCAGAAAACAGAGAAAUUAAACCAUGUCUUCUUUUCCAUACCGCGGUAUGGCCCCAAACUUCGAUGGAUUAUUCAAAUCCGUCGAACACUUGAUGAAGAAUUCAGUGAAAUCCCAGUGUGCAUUUUUAACGUCCCUAAUGGUUUCGGACCCCGAUUCUUACGUACCCCAAGAAGUUGCAUUAGGGCCAUACCAUUAUUGGCGUCCAGAACUAUACGAAAUGGAGAGGUAUUUGAGUACGUUUGUUAUGAUAUCAUGUUGAAUUGUGUGAACCAAAAAAAAAUGAGGACGUUUAUAUUAACUUAAUUAUGUCUUUAACAGGUAUAAACUAGGCGCUGCAAGGAGAACUCAGAAACAGCUCCAAAACAUCAAAUUUCAGCAUCUUGUUGAACAGUUGAUAAAAUUGGAGUCUAGAAUUCGCUCCUGUUACCAUAAGUAGUUGAAUUUCAAUGACGAAACUUUAGCCUGGAUGAUGGCUGUUGACGCCUCUUUUCUACUCGAGUUCCUUCGAAUUUAUGCUGUUAAAGAAGGUAUGGUUCUAACACGAGCAAUUUCUUACUCGACGAUGUCACAUUUAGUUGAUGUUCCUCUUUUCUACUGGAGGUAAUUUUAUGAAAUUUAGUAGCGUAUCAAGCGUGGGCCAUUGGUUUUUACUCGUUACACGGAGUUAAUGAAUGGGAUUAUUGACACGGAAGAAGAUGUAGCAUCCAUCGCUUAGAGAAAGAGCGAUUGUGUUGAACCGUUUGAAGAGCGAUGCUGAAGUUGCGAAUUCGAUGAUUAAAUCAGUG